ACCUCUGCAACUGCGAGCUUCAACUCGUCUUCAGUGUCCAAUUCCUCCCACACAUCAUCUCCUUCUAUGAUCAAGAUGGCAUUGCAGCUCUUCCUUGGGUUAGCAUCAGGAUUACCAGGAAGAAACCCCUCUUGUCUCUUGAUAGAUUGUGCAGUUUGAGCUACCUGUACAUCUAGCUUCUUCAAGUGAGAGCUCAGAUUGUCGAUCUUCCCAUUAAGAUCUGUGUAGACAUCAUAAAACUUGCCAUUGAACUCCACAACAAGCUUGUUUGGCUCUCCUGAAUCUGCUCAAGCAUCGAUUUCAUUCUUGUCUCUGCUGAGGGUGGAGGGGGG
rnacentral:sRNA from 1 species